rnacentral:hammerhead_ribozyme from 1 species
AUUCAGCUGACGAGUCCCAAAUAGGACGACACGCGAGUCAAACAGGAU